CCUACGGGUGGCAGCAGUGGGGAAUAUUGGGCAAUGGGCGCAAGCCUGACCCAGCAACGCCGCGUGAAGGAAGAAGGCUUUCUGGUUGUAAACUUCUUUUUACAGGGAAGAGCAGAAUACGGUACCUGUCGAAUAAGCUACGCCUAACUACUUGCCAGCAGCCGCGUUAAUACGUAGGUGGCAAGCGUUGUGCGGAUUUACUGGGUUUAAAGGGCGUGUAGCCGGGCUGACAAGUCAGAUGUGAAAUCCGGGGGCUCAACCCUCGAACUGCAUUUGAAACUGUUGGUCUUGAGUAUCGGAGAGGCAGGCGGAAUGCGUAGUGUAGCGGUGAAAUGCGUAGAUAUUAGGAGGAACCCCAGUGGCGAAGGCAGCCUGCUGGACGAUGACUGACGGUGAGGCGCGAAAGCGUGGGGAGCAAACAGGAUUAGAUACCCCAGUAGUC
rnacentral:rRNA from 1 species